rnacentral:ncRNA from 1 species
GUCGUCGUGAGGCGGAGUCCGAAGGAAGGGUGGAACAAAGCCACGACCUGACGAACAGAAACCCGAUGCAAUGCAUACUUGGUCGGUCGAGCGCGUAAAGGAUCACGAUGUCCCCGACCAUCAAAUGCCGGGCGGUAAUGUUGGCAGGUGUCGCCAGUGUGCAUAUCU